AUAUCAAUAAGCGGAGGAAAAGAAACCAACAGGGAUUGCCCCAGUAACGGCGAGUGAAGCGGCAACAGCUCAAAUUUGAAAUCUGGCCCUCUUGGGGGUCCGAGUUGUAAUUUGUAGAGGAUGCUUCGGUGUCGGCCCCGUGCCAAGUUCCUUGGAACAGGACGUCCGAGAGGGUGAGAGCCCCGUAUCGGCUCGGGUGGCCUUCGCCGUGUGAAGCUCCUUCGACGAGUCGAGUUGUUUGGGAAUGCAGCUCUAAGCGGGAGGUAUAUUUCUUCUAAAGCUAAAUAUUCGGUGUCACCGAUAGCGAACAAGUAGAGUGAUCGAAAGAUGAAAAGCACUUUGGAAAGAGAGUUAAACAGCACGUGAAAUUGUUGAAAGGGAAGCUCUUGCCCCCAGACUUGCCCGCGAUCGUUCAGCCUUCCUUUUGGGUGGUGUAUUCGUCCGCGGGCGGGCCAGCAUCAGCUCAAGCGGCCGGAUAAAUACCUUGGGAAUGUAGCUCCUCACGGGGGGAGUGUUAUAGCCCUUGGUG
rnacentral:rRNA from 1 species